GAUUGCUGAGCACCGUUGUCACCACUCUGGCACCUUCCACUGGUGGGCGGGACCAGAGUGUUUGGACGAUCUUCUCUGCCUGGGAUUGGACAGCCACCAGAGUGGCGUUCUCCUUCAGAACACACAGGAGGCUGAAGUUGUGGGAGAAGCACUGAGCACACAGUAGUUCCAUCCCCAAAGAUACACAAUAUCUCAGUGCCCAGGAGUCCUGAUUAAUGUCCUUGCUUUGCAAACCCUGAGCUGGCAGCAAGAAGAAGGGCAGAAGCCGACGUUUCUGAGAGACGAGAAAAAGAGAGGAUUUCAGUCACACAUUUCCAUUCGUCCUGUGAGAGAUCGGCUCCGGUGGGACUGUGUCCUGAGGCGGACAAGACCACCACGCUUUCUUCCGGAGCUUUCUCCAGGUCCUCUACCAUUUCUUCCACACACACUCCGCGACUCCCUCCGUCCCAGUAGCGGUAGCGUUUCACCACCCCAAAGCCUGCUGCCUCAAAGAUACCAGUCCAACUACUGUGAUGAGAGUCCAACCCUGAAGUCAGCGUGUGUGUUUAUCGUCCAAACUGAAGUCUCUCUGGUCUCUCUGGAGUUCCUUCCAUGCACAGCGGCAUGCUGUUGAUUGGAUCAAUCAUGACUUUUUUUUUUUUUUCUACAAGUCACAACUCAUAAGCACUCUAGCAGGUUGAAAACAGACUGUUGAGUUUAUUUUUCAAAUGCAGAUGAGCGCUCGGGUAAUGGCUAAAGAGGCCCUUGUCCAAAUAAACAAGUCUUAAAAUAUUUAUUCAA